AUGCUUUAUUUUAUGCUUAAAAUAAAACAUAUCACAUAGUAGCAUUGUAACUUUUAUUUUAAUAAUGAUGAUGUGAGAUUGGGUUUAUUUCCACAAAUAUCCUGAUAUUUUCAUUCACCUAAAAAAUUCCAAAACAUUUCAGUUUUAGAUAAAGCAAUGUUAUAAGUUUUCAUCACCCAGCAGGUCUAUGUAUUAUGAAUACAUUGAGCAAUGACCCAACCCUCAGCUUUGUUGGAAUGGCACUUGUCUCAUGAGUAGGCAUUAUUUUGAAUUUUCCCGAAAAUUUUAUUUGCAUGUCCCUUUUAAUUUUUUUUCUUUUUUCUUUUUCCUGUUUUUUGAGAUGGAGUCUCUCUCUGUCACCCAGGCUGGAGUGCAAUGGUGUGAUCUCAGCUCACUGCAACCUCUGCCUCCCGAAUCUCCUGCCUCAGCUGGAUUACAGCAUAGAUGCUGGCUCCUAGGGUGGGCAGAUUCUGGUCCUGCACCAACCCUGACUGGUGACCUUCUUGU
rnacentral:lncRNA from 10 species